GGUUAAGCGACUAAGCGUACACGGUGGAUGCCUAGGCAGUCAGAGGCGAUGAAGGGCGUGCUAAUCUGCGAAAAGCGUCGGUAAGCUGAUAUGAAGCGUAAUAACCGACGAUACCCGAAUGGGGAAACCCAGUGCAAUUCGUUGCACUAUUGCAUGGUGAAUACAUAGCCAUGCAAGGCGAACCGGGGGAACUGAAACAUCUAAGUACCCCGAGGAAAAGAAAUCAACCGAGAUUCCCCCAGUAGCGGCGAGCGAACGGGGAAGAGCCCAGAGUCUGAAUCAGUUGGUGUGUUAGUGGAAGCGUCUGGAAAGUCGCACGGUACAGGGUGAUAGUCCCGUACACAAAAACACACUGGCUGUGAACUCGAUGAGUAGGGCGGGACACGUGACAUCCUGUCUGAAUAUGGGGGGACCAUCCUCCAAGGCUAAAUACUCCUGACUGACCGAUAGUGAACCAGUACCGUGAGGGAAAGGCGAAAAGAACCCCGGCGAGGGGAGUGAAAUAGAACCUGAAACCGUGUACGUACAAGCAGUGGGAGCACCUUCGUGGUGUGACUGCGUACCUUUUGUAUAAUGGGUCAGCGACUUAUAUUUUGUAGCAAGGUUAACCGAAUAGGGGAGCCGUAGGGAAACCGAGUCUUAACUGGGCGUCUAGUUGCAAGGUAUAGACCCGAAACCCGGUGAUCUAGCCAUGGGCAGGUUGAAGGUUGGGUAACACUAACUGGAGGACCGAACCGACUAAUGUUGAAAAAUUAGCGGAUGACUUGUGGCUGGGGGUGAAAGGCCAAUCAAACCGGGAGAUAGCUGGUUCUCCCCGAAAGCUAUUUAGGUAGCGCCUCGUGAACUCAUCUUCGGGGGUAGAGCACUGUUUCGGCUAGGGGUCCAUCCCGGAUUACCAAACCGAUGCAAACUCCGAAUACCGAAGAAUGUUAUCACGGGAGACACACGGCGGGUGCUAACGUCCGUCGUGAAGAGGGAAACAACCCAGACCGCCAGCUAAGGUCCCAAAGUCAUGGUUAAGUGGGAAACGAUGUGGGAAGGCAUAGACAGCCAGGAUGUUGGCUUAGAAGCAGCCAUCAUUUAAAGAAAGCGUAAUAGCUCACUGGUCGAGUCGGCCUGCGCGGAAGAUGUAACGGGGCUAAACCAUGCACCGAAGCUGCGGCAGCGACGCUUAGGCGUUGUUGGGUAGGGGAGCGUUCUGUAAGCCGUUGAAGGUGGCCUGUGAGGGCUGCUGGAGGUAUCAGAAGUGCGAAUGCUGACAUAAGUAACGAUAAUGCGGGUGAAAAACCCGCACGCCGGAAGACCAAGGGUUCCUGUCCAACGUUAAUCGGGGCAGGGUGAGUCGACCCCUAAGGCGAGGCUGAAAAGCGUAGUCGAUGGGAAACAGGUUAAUAUUCCUGUACUGGGUGUGACUGCGAAGGGGGGACGGAGAAGGCUAGGCUAGCCGGGCGACGGUUGUCCCGGUUUAAGCAUGUAGGCGGAGCGACUUGGUAAAUCCGGUUGCUUAUCAACGCUGAGGUGUGAUGACGAGCCACUACGGUGGUGAAGUAGUUGAUGCCAAGCUUCCAGGAAAAGCCUCUAAGCAUCAGGUGACAUUCAAUCGUACCCCAAACCGACACAGGUGGUCAGGUAGAGAAUACUCAGGCGCUUGAGAGAACUCGGGUGAAGGAACUAGGCAAAAUGGUGCCGUAACUUCGGGAGAAGGCACGCUGGCAUUAGGUAAAGAGACUUGCUCUCGGCGCCGAAGCCAGUCGCAGAUACCAGCUGGCUGCAACUGUUUAAUAAAAACACAGCACUGUGCAAACACGAAAGUGGACGUAUACGGUGUGACGCCUGCCCGGUGCUGGAAGGUUAAUUGAUGGGGUCAGCCGCAAGGCGAAGCUCUUGAUCGAAGCCCCAGUAAACGGCGGCCGUAACUAUAACGGUCCUAAGGUAGCGAAAUUCCUUGUCGGGUAAGUUCCGACCUGCACGAAUGGCGUAAUGAUGGCCAGGCUGUCUCCACCCGAGACUCAGUGAAAUUGAACUCGCUGUGAAGAUGCAGUGUACCCGCGGCAAGACGGAAAGACCCCGUGAACCUUUACUAUAGCUUGACACUGAAUAUUGAGCCUUGAUG
rnacentral:rRNA from 1 species